GGGGGGGGGCACAGAAAGAAGAAAGCUUGGAUUGUGGCAGCUUUAUGUGUUAUGUGGUGCAUGGGGAGAGAGAAAUGAAUAGACAUAUUUUUAAAGAGACCGUGUUAAGGAUUCAAAGGCUUAAGAUCCCCUAGAGAUGCUGAGUCUCAACAAAAUCGUCGUCUAAUGUGAGGGCAGUAACUUACUUGUUCUUGUUGCUGGUGUGGUCCCAGUCAUCCCAGCCACCGUGGGCGACCACGUCAUCAAAAUAGGUGAAGGAGAAGACGAUCCGGGAGUAUUGGCCCAUGGCCCGGCCCACGUAGAGUGGGCCCGUACCCGUCACCCUGCAGCGCACGAAAG